UACGUAGGCAGCGAGCGUUGUUCGGAAUUACUGGGCGUAAAGAGUGUGUAGGCGGUGCUCUAAGUUCGGUGUGAAAUCUCCUGGCUUAACUGGGAGGGUGCGCCGGAAACUGGAGUGCUCGAGCGUGGGAGAGGAAAGCGGAAUUCCUGGUGUAGCGGUGAAAUGCGCAGAUAUCAGGAGGAACACCGAUGGCGAAGGCAGGUCUCUGGGCAUUAACUGACGCUGAGGAGCGAAAGCAUGGGGAGCGAACAGG
rnacentral:rRNA from 1 species